UUUUUUUUUUUUUUUUGGGUAUUGUGGUAAGGUUAAUAUUCUAAGACAUUCUACACAAGUUAUAUACGAAAUAUUGAAUAUCUUUGAAUACGUUUGUUUCAUGGGGUCUUGUGUUUCUCUUGCUCCUUUUCUUGUUAAGUGUUGUGUCUCAAGAGGAUCUCUUUACUUUUGAUGAAUUUUAAAAUUCAGGCUGACAAUUUGAGGCAGCAAACACUACAACAGAUGCACCGAAUAUUGAC
rnacentral:misc_RNA from 1 species